UCAGGACGAACGCUGGCGGCGUGCCUAAUACAUGCAAGUCGAACGGUCUUUCUAUGGAAGCUUGCUUCCACUGAGAAGAUAGUGGCGAACGGGUGAGUAACACGUGGGUAACCUGCCCAUAAGAGGGGGGAUAACAUCCGGAAACGGGUGCUAAUACCGCAUAGUUUUCUUGAUCGCAUGAUCGGGAAAGGAAAGACGGCCUUUGUGCUGUCGCUUAUGGAUGGACCCGCGGCGUAUUAGUUAGUUGGUGAGGUAACGGCUCACCAAGACGAUGAUACGUAGCCGACCUGAGAGGGUGAUCGGCCACAUUGGGACUGAGACACGGCCCAAACUCCUACGGGAGGCAGCAGUAGGGAAUCUUCCGCAAUGGACGAAAGUCUGACGGAGCAACGCCGCGUGAGUGAAGAAAAGGUUUUCGGAUCGUAAAACUCUGUUGUCAGAGAAGAACAAGUUGGAGAGUAACUGCUCCAGCCUUGACGGUAUCUGACCAGAAAGCCACGGCUAACUACGUGCCAGCAGCCGC
rnacentral:rRNA from 1 species